rnacentral:rRNA from 1 species
GACGAACGCUGGCGGCGUGCUUAACACAUGCAAGUCGAACGGAAAGGCCCUGCUUUUGUGGGGUGCUCGAGUGGCGAACGGGUGAGUAACACGUGAGUAACCUGCCCUUGACUUUGGGAUAACUUCAGGAAACUGGGGCUAAUACCGGAUAGGAGCUCCUGCUGCAUGGUGGGGGUUGGAAAGUUUCGGCGGUUGGGGAUGGACUCGCGGCUUAUCAGCUUGUUGGUGGGGUAGUGGCUUACCAAGGCUUUGACGGGUAGCCGGCCUGAGAGGGUGACCGGCCACAUUGGGACUGAGAGACGGAGCAGACUCCUACGGGAGGCAGCAGUGGGGAGCAUUGCACAAUGGGCGGAAGCCUGAUGCAGCAACGCCGCGUGCGGGAUGACGGCCUUCGGGUUGUAAACCGCUUUCGCCUGUGACGAAGCGUGAGUGACGGUAAUGGGUAAAGAAGCACCGGCUAACUACGUG